rnacentral:lncRNA from 1 species
AGAAAUCUUAGGUAUUCACCCAAGAGAAAUGAAAACAUGUACACACAAAAGUCAGUAAGUGAAUGCUUAUAGUUUUAUUUGUAAUUGCCAAAACUUGGAAACAACCCCAAUGUCCUUCAGCUGGUGAAUGAAGGAACAAUGGUACAUCUGUACAAUGGAAUACUACUCAGCAACGAAAAGGAAUAAACUGUUGAUUCACACCACAUCAUGAUUUUUUUUUUUUUUUUGGUGAGGAAGAUUGGCCCUUAGCUAACAUCUGUUGCCAAUCUUCCUUUUUUUUUUUUCCUCCCCAAAGCCCAGUAGAUAGUUGUAUAUCCUAGUUGUAAGUCAUUCUAGUUCUUCUAUGUGGGAUGCCGCCACAGCAUGGUUUGAUGAGCAGUGUGUAGGUCUGCACCCAGGAUCUGAACUGGUGAACCCCAGGCCACCAAAGCAGAGUGUGCAAACUUAACCACUCGGCCACAGGCCAGCCCCCGUGGAUGAAUCUUAAAUGCACUUUGCUAAAUGAAAAAAACCAGACCUAAGACUACAUAUUGUAUGUAUAACACUCCUGAGAAGAUAAAACCAUACAGACAGAAAACAUGUCAGUAGUGGCCAUGGGCUGGAGGAAUGGAGGGGUUGACUAUAAAGGGGCAGCAUGAGCAGAACCGGGGGUGUGGAACUGUUCUGUGUCACACCGUGGUAGUGGAUACUGCCUCUACACAUGUCAAGAUCCACAGAACUGCGGGCCACGAAGAGUGACUUUUACUGAAUGUACGUAGUUAUCAGUCAACCAGGAUGUGGAGAGAAAGACGGAGUGCACCCUGCAGCAAGCGCAUCACGUGACCGCACUGAAGCAGGUGGGGAAGAAAGGAGGGACCCAAACAGCUGGGGGAAGUGUUCUGAGUAGAUAAGGAAAAACUAAAAAGAAUUGUGUACAAAUGCUACUCUGGUUGGCAAAUUUGUUUCUCACAGAGCUACUGUUUAGCAAUUCUCAAGUUACCUUAAACGUAGGAUUGAACAAAUCAGUAAAUUAUUGUAGGCAAAUAAAUGAGAAGUGACAACUCUUCCUUACAGCGGAAUUCCAAUUAUAUUACGUGGAAGGAUGAGAAAAACAGAAGAUGACCAUUGGAACACCAGGCAGUGGGCAAAGCGUAAGCAAAAACAUGCCAUCUGCACAGUUUCGGUCUUUCCUCCCAGGCAGCUCUAAGUUACAAACGGAACAGCAGGCAUUUCACAGUGGGGAGAGCAGGAGACCCCGCCGUAGUCGAGUGACCAGGGU